rnacentral:rRNA from 1 species
UUAGUAUUCUAGUGGGCAUGCCUGUUCGAGCGUCAUUUCAACCCUUAAGCCUAGCUUAGUAUUGGGAACUGGCUUUACUGCCAU